rnacentral:rRNA from 1 species
AGUGAACGCUGGCGGUAGGCCUAACACAUGCAAGUCGAACGGCAGCACAGUAAGAGCUUGCUCUUACGGGUGGCGAGUGGCGGACGGGUGAGGAAUACAUCGGAAUCUACUUUUUCGUGGGGGAUAACGUAGGGAAACUUACGCUAAUACCGCAUACGACCUACGGGUGAAAGCAGGGGAUCUUCGGACCUUGCGCGAUUGAAUGAGCCGAUGUCGGAUAGCUAGUUGGCGGGGUAAAGGCCCACCAAGGCGACGAUCCGUAGCUGGUCUGAGAGGAUGAUCAGCCACACUGGAACUGAGACACGGUCCAGACUCCUACGGGAGGCAGCAGUGGGGAAUAUUGGACAAUGGGCGCAAGCCUGAUCCAGCCAUACCGCGUGGGUGAAGAAGGCCUUCGGGUUGUAAAGCCCUUUUGUUGGGAAAGAAAAGCAGCAGGUUAAUACCCCGCUGUUCUGACGGUACCCAAAGAAUAAGCACCGGCUAACUUCGCG